rnacentral:scRNA from 1 species
CUGCUGGAGCUGGCUGCAAGGCAAGCCGCCCA